GACGGGUAUCCGGCCUGAGAGGGUGAACGGACACACUGGAACUGAGACACGGUCCAGACUCCUACGGGAGGCAGCAGUAGGGAAUAUUGCUCAAUGGGGGAAACCCUGAAGCAGCAACGCCGCGUGGAGGAUGAAGGUUUUAGGAUUGUAAACUCCUUUUGUUAGAGAAGAUUAUGACGGUAUCUAACGAAUAAGCACCGGCUAACUCCGUGCCAGCAGCCGCGGUAAUACGGAGGGUGCAAGCGUUACUCGGAAUCACUGGGCGUAAAGAGUGCGCAGGCGGGAUAGCAAGUCAGAUGUGAAAUGCUAUGGCUUAACCAUAGAACUGCAUUUGAAACUGUUAUUCUA
rnacentral:rRNA from 1 species